AAUGUUGAAUAGAGAAGAAUUAGAAGAGGAAAGAAGACUUUGCUAUGUUGCCAUUACAAGGGCAGAGGAAAAGUUAUAUAUAUCCUAUGCAAA
rnacentral:sRNA from 1 species